rnacentral:rRNA from 1 species
GACGAACGCUGGCGGCGUGCUUAACACAUGCAAGUCGAACGAAGUGGCGAACGGGUUAGUAACGCGUAAUCAACCUGCCCUUCAGCGGGGUAUAACAGUUGGAAACGACUGCUAAUACCGCAUACUGCAGGUGGGGAUUGCGUCUGAUUAGCUAGUUGGAGGGGUAACGGCCCACCAAGGCGAAGAUCAGGAACCUGUCUGGAAGGAAGAACGGCCAAAAUGGGAAUGGGACACGGCCCAGAAUCCUAAGGGAGGCAGCAAGGGGGGAUCUUCCGCAAUGGACGAAAGUCUGACGGAGCAACGCCGAGUGAGUGGAGACGGACUUCGGGUUUUAAAGCUAUGUUAAUCGGGAAGCGGUAACGGAAUAGAAAGCCACGGCUAACUACGUGCCAGCAGCCGCGGUAAUAC